rnacentral:lncRNA from 1 species
ACUAACAGGAUAUUUUAUAGAUGCAGUUGUUUGAUCUCUAUUGUGUGUUGUUAGGUUUGAUUUUGGACAGGACAGACCUCAGUGUAUUGGUUGUCUUGAAUAUUGUGAUGUUGUACUGGUUUCCUAUCUUUCUUAAAAUUUUGUUUCUUUCUCGUGAGUGUUUCUGGAUUGCUUGUGGUGUUUUGUUGUUUCCUUUCUUCAAUCUCGUGAAAUUCCUUAAAUAAUAAUUGUAAUCAUUUUUUGUUAAAACCUUUGUUAGCAGGUUUGUUCUUAGCAGGUUAUGUUUUGAGUGGUAGUUCAAAUAUCUGUUGGUGUGGGCCGUGGGUUGGUUUUCUGUAAACUUUGAUUGCAUAUCCUGUAACCUCUUUUGUAAUUAACACGUCCAGAAAAUGAAGUAAAUUCUUGUUUUAAUUUUACAUGGUGAAUUUGGAUUCUUCUUUAUUAUUGAUGCCCAUCAGAAUUGUAUUCAAUGCUUCUGGCCUGUGAGCCCAAUUGAGGAUAAUUUAUCUUGAAUUCUUGAACCUUCAUUUAUCUAACUUAUUUUGCUUAUAAACAAAUUUUGUAGAGUAUAAUUUCUUCCGGAUUUAUUAUUAGUAUCGUUGCUAUACGAUAUUUUUAAAAAUGUUUUUUGUUUGCAUGUUGAUUAGGCAAUAGUUUUAUUACACCACAUACUUCAAGAAUUUAUUUUUAACAAAUAAUAAUACGUAAGAGUCUCGCAAUAAUUAUCUGAAGUCAGAGGCCAAAUUUCGUUAAGUGUUUGAGUAUUACGAGUAAUGUGUUUCUUAUUGAUACGCUGGGAAAACAAGAUAAUAACAAAAAUAUGUGUGGUGACGUAUUUAUGUGAUUUUCCUUGACGUAGCAACACUUCCAGAAGAAGAAUAUUAAUAAAAUAAUUCACCCCCAUAACAAAAGAAAUCAUAGUGAAUGUUUAUUCUGUAGUUAUUUGAUUGUUAACAUGAAAUGAAAAGUAACAUUGUUACAUUAUCGUUAAAAUUUGUUUUUGAUGAUUCUACAAAACAAUCUGCUAAUGGUAGAAUUAAGAUUGAGUCCUCUCUAGUUUGAUGGAUCACUGCGUUUGCCUCUUUUUUAUAUGGAAGGUAUGUAGGAUGUUUUCCAUUUUUUAGGUAUGCAUUAAAAUUUUAUGCAGUUGUUCAUAAAGUUCAAAGGGGUGGGUAAAAGUCUUUCAAAGAGACCAUUAACUUAUGUAAAGACAGAAAGAUAGGUGGUAUAUAUGCUGUUGCAGAACAAUAUAUUUAUUAUAAGGAAGAGCUAAUAAAAGUCGGUCAGAGGAAGAACAGAAAAAAAA